rnacentral:sRNA from 1 species
AGUCCUUAAAAGAGUUUUUACAAAAAUCCAAAAAAAAC